AAAGUACUUUCUCCAUCCAAAAAUUCGUGUCUUAGAUUUUUCUAGAUACGGAUGUAUCAAGUCACAGAUACAUCCGUAUCUAGACAAAUCUAAGACAAGAAAUUUGGGACAGAGGGAGUAGUUG
rfam:Triticum aestivum genome assembly, contig: Triticum_aestivum_CS42_TGACv1_scaffold_031185_1BL